UACGUAGGGGGCAAGCGUUGUCCGGAUUUAUUGGGCGUAAAGAGCGUGUAGGCGGCCAGGUAGGUCUGCUGUGAAAACUCGAGGCUCAACCUCGAGACGUCGGCGGAAAACCAUCUGGCUAGAGUCCGGAAGAGGAGAGUGGAAUUCCUGGUGUAGCGGUGAAAUGCGCAGAUAUCAGGAAGAACACCCGUGGCGAAGGCGGCUCUCUGGGACGGUACUGACGCUGAGACGCGAAAGCGUGGGGAGCGAACAGGAU
rnacentral:rRNA from 1 species